UACAGAGGGUGCAAACGUUGCUCGGAAUCAUUGGGCGUAAAGCGCACGUAGGCGGCCCAGCAAGUGGGGAGUGAAAGCCCCUCGGCUUAACCGAGGAAGUGCUUUUUCCAAACUACUGGGCUUGAAUACUGGAGAGGGUCGCGGAAUUCCCGGUGUAGAGGUGAAAUUCGUAGAUAUCGGGAGGAACACCAGUGGCGAAGGCGGGCAUCUGGGGCCAAACCACUGACGCUGAGGCGCGAAAGCUAGGGGAGCAAA
rnacentral:rRNA from 1 species